rnacentral:misc_RNA from 1 species
AAUUCUCAACUGCCUUUUAGCAUUUAUGUUAAGGGUGAAGUUGGAGUUGGAGGAUAAUUGCUGGCGCAACUUGAGUUGCUUGUUAGCUCCUCUUAAAUGGAUGAGCUUUUCUGAUAGAUCAUAGCCCAGUAAUACUAAUGUGAUAACUAUCUACAUUAAAUGUGAAAGUGCUAUGAGUAGAGCAACUUUAAUUAUAAAGGAAGCUCCUACAGAAAGGAUAUGUCUUGGGGGAUAAUAAACCUAUGACUUAUAACAAA